rnacentral:rRNA from 1 species
UGGGGAAUUUUGGACAAUGGACGCAAGUCUGAUCCAGCCAUGCCGCGUGCGGGAAGAAGGCCUUCGGGUUGUAAACCGCUUUUGUCAGGGAAGAAACGAGUUUCUCUAAUACAGCGACUUAAUGACGGUACCUGAAGAAUAAGCACCGGCUAACUACGUGCCAGCAGCCGCGGUAAUACGUAGGGUGCAAGCGUUAAUCGGAAUUACUGGGCGUGAAGCGUGCGCAGGCGGUUAUGCAAGACAGAUGUGAAAUCCCCGGGCUCAACCUGGGGACUGCAUUUGUGACUGUAGAGCUAGAGUACGGCAGAGGGGGAUGGAAUUCCGCGUGUAGCAGUGAAAUGCGUAGAUAUGCGGAGGAACACCGAUGGCGAAGGCAAUCCCCUGGGCCUGUACUGACGCUCAUGCACGAAAGCGUGGGGAGCAAACA